UGCAUCAUAGUGUCAUGUUGAUGGGAGU
rnacentral:piRNA from 1 species